GACGAACGCUGGCGGCGUGCUUAACACAUGCAAGUCGAGCGGAAAGGCCCUUCGGGGUCCUCGAGCGGCGAACGGGUGAGUAACACGUGAGUAACCUGCCCCAGACUUUGGGAUAACCCUCGGAAACGGGGGCUAAUACCGGAUACGACACAGCUUCGCAUGGGGUCUGUGUGGGAAGUUUUUCGGUUUGGGAUGGGCUCGCGGCCUAUCAGCUUGUUGGUGGGGUGAUGGCCUACCAAGGCGACGACGGGUAGCCGGCCUGAGAGGGCGACCGGCCACACUGGGACUGAGACACGGCCCAGACUCCUACGGGAGGCAGCAGUGGGGAAUAUUGCACAAUGGGCGGAAGCCUGAUGCAGCGACGCCGCGUGAGGGAUGACGGCCUUCGGGUUGUAAACCUCUUUCAGCAGGGACGAAGCGUAAGUGACGGUACCUGCAGAAGAAGCGCCGGCCAACUACGUG
rnacentral:rRNA from 1 species